UCGCCUGUUUUUCAAAAACAUGGCCUUUUGGUUUGUGAAGAGUAUGAAAGGUUUGACCUGCCCAGUGGUUUUAUCUAAACGGCUGCAGUGAAUAACUGUACAAAGGUAGCGAAAUCAGUUGUCCUUUAAAUGGGGAAAGGUAUGAAAGGUUUGACGAUAAAAAAGCUGUCUCUUAAAAAUAUUAUGAAGUUUCCGUUUAAGUGAAAAGGCUUAAAUUUUUGAAAAAGACGAGAAGACCCUAUUGAGCUUGAUUAUAUUUUUUUGUUGGAAAGGGUUGAAGUUUUAUUGGGGCAAUAGGAAGCUAAAAAGAACGCUUCUUUUUAGAGUGAAGAUCCUUCAUGGAAGAAAUAAGCAAAAGCUACCAUAGGGAUAACAGCGUUAUCUUUCUUGAGAGUUCUGAUUAAGGGAAAGGUUUGCGACCUCGAUGUUGGAUUAAGAUAUCUUUUUGGUGCAGCAGCUAAAAAAGUAAGACUGUUCGUCUUUUAAAAUUUUACGUGAUCUGAGUUCAGACCGGA
rnacentral:rRNA from 1 species